rfam:Corynebacterium frankenforstense DSM 45800 strain ST18, complete genome.
GUCGGUGGUUAUAGUGGCGGGGAAACGCCCGGUCCCAUUCCGAACCCGGAAGCUAAGCCCGCCAACGCUGAUGGUACUGCACUCGGGAGGGUGUGGGAGAGUAAGUCACCGCCGACA